rnacentral:lncRNA from 10 species
AUUAGCAGUGUAAUUGCCAAGAAAAGGUGACAGGCUCCAGGCUUAAAACAAGUGGGUUCCUCCCCCACCAACCCCCUUCGCCUAUUAACUCUUGUGAGUCCUAAGCCAAAUUAAAAAGGACUCUGAGGACAGAGCAAUGGAGAACAAAAAGAAAAGAAAAGAAGAAAAAGAAAGAAAAAGAACAACAGAAUCUAAUGAAAAAUAGAGAAAAAUAUCUGCUGCAUUGUUGUCAUCAUUGUUUUGUGAAGACAGUAGAAUAAGAGGAAGUAAAAUGAGUCCGAUACAGGAGGGUGCGAACUGGGGAUCAGGUUAAUUGUGCUUUAAAGUUAUGGGGUCUUUCAGUGGAUUUGCAUGAU